CCUACGGGCGGCAGCAGUGGGGAAUAGUGGGCAAUGGGCGCAAGCCUGACCCAGCAACGCGGCGUGAAGGAAGCAGGCACUCGGGUUGUAAACGUCUUUUAACAGGGAAGAAGAAAUGGACGGUACCUGUUGAAUACGCCACGGCUAACUACGUGCCAGCAGCCGCGGUAUAACGUAGGUGGCAAGCGUUAAACGGAUUUACUGGGUGUAAAGGGCGUGUAGGCGGGGGAGCAAGUCAGACGUGAAAUUCCGGGGCUCAACCCUGGAACUGCGUUUGAAACUGUUCUUCUUGAGUGAUGGGGAGGCAGGCGGAAUUCCGGGUGUAGCGGUGAAAUGCGUAGAUAUACGGAGGAACACCAGUGGCGAAGGCGGCCUGCUGGACAUUAACUGACGCUGAGGCGCGAAAGCGUGGGGAGCAAACAGGAUUAGAUACCCUAGUAGUC
rnacentral:rRNA from 1 species